rnacentral:rRNA from 1 species
UGGGGUGCCCCGCGAGGGGAGCCCUAGCACAGGUGCUGCAUGGCCGUCGUCAGCUCGUGCCGUGAGGUGUUGGGUUAAGUCCCGCAACGAGCGCAACCCCGCCGUUAGUUGCCAGCGGUUCGGCCGGGCACUCUAACGGGACUGCCCGCGAAAGCGGGAGGAAGGAGGGGACGACGUCUGGUCAGCAUGGCCCUUACGGCCUGGGCGACACACGUGCUACAAUGCCCACUACAAAGCGAUGCCACCCGGCAACGGGGAGCUAAUCGCAAAAAGGUGGGCCCAGUUCGGAUUGGGGUCUGCAACCCGACCCCAUGAAGCCGGAAUCGCUAGUAAUCGCGGAUCAGCCAUGCCGCGGUGAAUACGUUCCCGGGCCUU